UACGUAGGGUGCGAGCGUUGUCCGGAAUUACUGGGCGUAAAGGGCGCGUAGGCGGCCACGACAAGUCACUUGUGAAAUCUCCGGGCUUAACUCGGAACGGUCAAGUGAUACUGUCGGGCUAGAGUACAGAAGGGGCAACUGGAAUUCCUGGUGUAGCGGUGAAAUGCGUAGAGAUCAGGAAGAACACCGGUGGCGAAAGCGCUCUGCUGGACCUUAACUGACACUGAGGGACGAAAGCUAGGGGAGCGAAUGGG
rnacentral:rRNA from 1 species